UACGGAGGGUGCAAGCGUUAUCCGGAUUUACUGGGUUUAAAGGGUGCGUAGGUGGAUAAUUAAGUCAGUGGUGAAAUCUUCAGGCUUAACCUGGAAACUGCCAUUGAUACUAUUUAUCUUGAAUACUUUGGAGGUAAGCGGAAUAUGUCAUGUAGCGGUGAAAUGCUUAGAUAUGACAUAGAACGCCAAUUGCGAAGGCAGCUUACUACACAGUAAUUGACACUGAGGCACGAAAGCGUGGGGAUCAAACAGG
rnacentral:rRNA from 1 species